rnacentral:rRNA from 1 species
UGCCAGCAGCCGCGGUAAUACGGAGGGGGCUAGCGUUGUUCGGAAUUACUGGGCGUAAAGCGCGCGUAGGCGGGCUGUUAAGUCGGGGGUGAAAUCCCGGGGCUCAACCCCGGAACUGCCCUCGAUACUGGCAGCCUAGAGGUCGAGAGAGGUGAGUGGAAUUCCGAGUGUAGAGGUGAAAUUCGUAGAUAUUCGGAGGAACACCGGUGGCGAAGGCGGCUUCCUGGACCGGUACUGACGCUGAGGUGCGAAAGUGUGGGGAGCAAACAGGAUUAGAUA